rnacentral:rRNA from 1 species
UACGGGGGGGGCAAGCGUUGUUCGGAAUUACUGGGCGUAAAGGGCUCGUAGGCGGACAACUAAGUCGGAUGUGAAAUCCCCAAGCUUAACUUGGGAACUGCAUCCGAUACUGGAUGGCUUGAAUCCGGGAGAGGGAUGCAGAAUUCCAGGUGUAGCGGUGAAAUGCGUAGAUAUCUGGAGGAAUACCGGUGGCGAAGGCGGCAUCCUGGACCGGCAUUGACGCUGAGGAGCGAAAGCUAGGGGAGCAAACGGG